rnacentral:lncRNA from 1 species
CAAAAUUCGGUAAAAACUCAGUGGAAUUGUUUUUUUGGAGUUUAUUUUUUGCAGAAUAAGUCAUUUUUUUCAUAUUUCAUAAUGAAUUUGCCAACAGUGAGUGUGAGUUUUAGGAGGUAUUCCAUACCACCUUAAAGGUUGUUGGCAGCUGCUGGUUGCCUUUGAGUGAAAUUAGCUUCUUUUUUCUCAGUAAGGUCUUUCUCUGCAGUUAUUUUUCUGACCUGUAAGAUUCACAUUGUGUUACUUUGUGACUUUAAAAAAAAAUUCUUACAGCUUUUAAACAAUCAGCAACAACUACACAAAAACCAACUACACACUGACAGUAAAAAUGAACAGUAAACACACACACACACACACACACACACACACACACACACACUCUGCCUGUGUGUAAAGUAUUAGCAGACGGUUUCAUGCUUUCAGGUGUUUGUUGUGUUCGUCAGGGCUGCACAGUUAAUCAGAUUUGAUUCUCAGUGAUUUAUCUUUCCACGAUUAAAUGAGCACGACUGAACGAUACUAAACCCUCCACCAAUAACACUGCAGAGCAAAACAAAAUCAAGCGCUCCCCGACGUCAUCGCCAACCAAUAGGGCUUUGGAGUUGACGUCACUGGAGGUGGGCCACGCCCCCUUUCCGCCAUGACAGUAGGCUAGACACAGGAUACAGCUUCAGCUAUGGUUCAUACGUGUUGUGUUAUCAGUUGCAACGUUUGAUCACACGAUCGUGAAGGCAAGAAGCUGGAUAAUGGGCUCUCUUUUCAUCGUUUUUCAACCUGGAGGCAACGUGAGGGAUCCCAUGUAUCCGAUAUUACUAAACAAAGACGUCAGGCUUGCAUUGCAGCGGUGAGACGAGCGGAUCGAGUUCUGUGCAAUCCCCAGCUUUUUGUUGGUUUGGUCUCUGCAUCUUCUUUCCGGCUUUUAUGCAGCUGCAGAGUCUGAAGGUGUGCCCCGUGCAGAAGUAAUCGAUGAAGAUCUGACAGAAGAACAACAACAAAAUUACAAUGUCAUAGCUGUGGACAGCAGUUGUGUUGGACAAGUGGAGGUUGAGGUACCACCUGUAAAUGUGGACAGUGGCGAUCGGACACCAUCACGGAAGCUAAAGGGCAGACGAAGCAUUGUGUGUGCAAUGAACAGGGCAGAGCAGAGAUAAACACAACACUGCUUGAUAAGAUUGUUAAGGUUUGCUGUGUUUUGGUGAAUAUGUGCCCCAGUGUGGUUGUCAAACCAGCGCCAAAUGAAACUUGCUCUUGUUGAGUAUUCAUAAAGCUGUUGUGUUGCAUGUGUAGUUCAUUGUAAAUAAUUGUACUUUGUGUGAAGUAGUUUCAAUAAAACAGAAAAGAAUAGUAUACAUGUUUUUUUUUUUUUUAUUCUUGAUCUUAUCACAUGUACUUAGCAAGAACAUAAAAAUGAAAUGCAAACUAUUUACAUGGCAACACACAGCUGG